rnacentral:rRNA from 1 species
CACGUAGGGCGCAAGCGUUGUCCGGAAUUAUUGGGCGUAAAGAGCUCGUAGGCGGUCUGUUGCGUCCGCUGUGAAAACUCGGGGCUUAACCCCGAGCCUGCAGUGGAUACGGGCAGACUAGAGGUAGGUAGGGGAGAAUGGAAUUCCCGGUGUAGCGGUGAAAUGCGCAGAUAUCGGGAGGAACACCAGUGGCGAAGGCGGCUAUCUGGGCUGCAACUGACGCUGAGGCGCGAAGGCUAGGGUAGCAAACAGG